UCUAGUUACUAUAGCAAAGAGGGUACACCUGUUCCCAUUCCGAACACAGAAGUUAAGCUCUUUAGCGCCGAUGGUACUUGGUGGGAAGCUGCCUGGGAGAGUAGGACGUAGCUNNNN
rfam:[Clostridium] sordellii strain JGS6382 genome assembly, chromosome: 1